GUUAAAGUCGUAUUUAGGGACAGAGAACUUUCUUCACAGUGUAACAGUUUAUCUUCACUGAUAACAUUUGUUGUCGAUAUAAAAUGGAGACGAUAGUUGGUUUGUUGUUUAUAGGACUUGUGUCCGGAGCUUCGUGUUUCCUCACGGACACCGGGGGUUCACGAGGACACUAUGCAAUGUACGUAUGGCGAACUGGGUUCGAUCCCAACGUACACGGGUGUGACCAAACAGACUUUCUGGACUGGAAUAGCAAACAUAGCCAUUGUUUUACACACACGUGGAACUCUCCAGACAAGAGACAAUGGCUGUGGAAUACGUGCAACCUUCCUGGACGUGAAAUCUCCAGUAUAUUUUUAGCCGCGUUACAAACCUGAAGAUUUACGCCCUAUUUGCGGCCAGUGACAUCGAAGUUUCGGAGAGACACAUGGUUCCCUAUGUCGUGUGGUAUAAUGAUAACUGUGCACAUACAGACCAGGAAAAGUUUGACGGUGUUGCUGUUAACAAUGAGGCGUAUGCCGCCAUAAAAUGCUCCAGCGACUUAAACCAGAGGACUACUUAUUUGGACCGUCUUCAGGAAAUACACGAUGGUGCUCAGAAACAGCGCCACGGCCGGCUGCUGACGCAUUUCUCUGUAAGCUGGCACUGGGGUCAGUGUAAUGGACAAAGCCAGCCCUUUCUCUGGCGCGGGAAAACAUCUGACGCAUCACAUCACAUGAUCGAUAUUUUUGACAGUAUUGAUGUCCAGGUUGGGUACACGACGUUUCCUCAAAUCAAUGAGAGGAUGGACCUAGCCGGACUGAACUACUCCCGUCUCCUCAACAAACCAAGUUUUGUUACUUUCUACACUGAUAAGACAGAGCCUUGUCAAAUCACCUUCUUCCCCCAGACCUGCAGGUGGAGCGGGAGGUCGGAAUCAAACCUAUUCAGUGUCAUUGACCAGUUUCCUCAGAACGGGCUUAGUGGGAUUCAGCCCUGCAUCCACUACUUCAGAGGCGUGUAUUCCAGUGGAGGGCAUCCCGACUGGCCCGCCCAUUCCAACCAUUAAUUGGUGCAUUUCUGUAGGAUUCAUUAAGAAAAUUAUAACCCCCACCUCCUUUUUGUAAGAGUAUUGAUAUUUUUGUUGUUUUAGAAGAAGACUUUGAACUUCUACAGUAUUUUCCAAUUUAUAUAUCAAUACUUCAUGGAAUGGAUCGAAUUGUUUUUGGAAUAAAAAAAUAUGUAAUUAU
rnacentral:misc_RNA from 1 species